rnacentral:rRNA from 1 species
GAUGAACGCUGGCGGCGUGCCUAAUACAUGCAAGUCGAGCGGACAGACGAUGAUCUUGCUCCUCUGACGUUAGCGGCGGACGUGUGAGUAACACGUGUAUAACCUACCUAUAAGACUGAGAUAACUUCGAGAAACCGGAGCUAAUACCGGAUAAUAUAUUGAACCGCAUGGUGGAAUAGUGAAAGACGGUUUUGCUGUCACUUAUAGAUGGAUCCGCGCCGCAUUAGAUAGUUGUUAAGGUAACGGCUUACCAAGGCAACGAUGCGUAGCCGACCUGAGAGGGUGAUAGCCCACACUGGAAGUGAGACAGGCUCAAGACUCCUAAGGGAGGCAGCAGAAGCGAAUGUUCCGCAAUAGGCGAGAGCCUGACGGAGCAACGGGGAGUGAGUGAUGAAGGUCUCGGGAUCGUAAAGAUCUGUUAUUAGGGAAGAACAAAUGUGUAAGUAAAUAUGCACGUAUUGACGGUACCUAAUAAGAAAGCAACGGCUAACUACGUG